GAUUAUGGCUCAGAACGAACGCUGGUGGCGUGUCUAUACAUGCAAGUCGAGCGAGGUAGCAAUGCCGAGCGGCGAACGGGUGAGUAACGCGUAAGCAAUCUGCCCCAUAUCAGGAAAUACCCGUGCCAACGCGCGGUUAAUGUCCAGGAGAGUGGCCCUCCGCAUGGAGGGUUGACUAGAGAUUUAUCGGUAUGGGAUGAGCUUGCGUCCGAUUAGCUAGUUGGCGGGGCAACGGCCCACCAAGGCGACGAUCGGUAGCCGGCCUGAGAGGGUGAUCGGCCACAUUGGGACUGAGAUACGGCCCAGACUCCUACGGGAGGCAGCAGUAGGGAAUAUUGCACAAUGGGGGAAACCCUGAUGCAGCAACGCCACGUGUGGGAAGAAGCAUUUCGGUGUGUAAACCACUGUCAUGAGGGAAUAAGGCCCGCCUUCGGGCGGGAUUGAAUGUACCUUGAGAGGAAGCACCGGCAAACUUCGUGCCAGCAGCAGC
rnacentral:rRNA from 1 species